GAUAAAUCAGAUCAUUUUUCUUUUUAUUUUUCUCAGCCAACCACUAACUCAUGCUCAUCCACCAUCACUAUAUAUGUGUGUGUGAAUCUUCAGACGACUUCAACCAAGCCAUCACAAAAACCAUUUUCUCUGUAAACAGACUAGUAGCUUUAAAGACUUCGAGUAGUAUUAGGUAAACAGAGAGAUGGCAGCAAAGUUUUCUUCCAUCGUGUGCAAGAUCCUUCUCGUCGUUGUAGCCAUGGUUGCCCUCCUGUCCUCCGCCUAUGCAAGAGACGACUCAAAAUAUGGGCAGUGUUUUUCCCGGCCUGAUUGCAGCAACUACUGCAAGAAUCAAGGAUACCAAAGGGGAGGCGAGCUCAUGCCGCCCAACUUCAUGGACUGUUGUUGUUUCAUAUGAACAUUAUCGUGCAAUGUUCCGUUUUAUGUCUAAAUAAAAUAAAAUGCUGUAAUAAAAGUGAAAUACAUGGAUUGCAUGCAAAUCUGCUGGGAAGUUUGCCGGCAUUUUGGAAUAUAUUCACAUGAACUUGUGAUUUAGAAUGUGUGCGUACUUAUUGGUAUUUAUGAUGGUCUCAGAUUUCAA